rnacentral:rRNA from 1 species
UACGUAGGGUGCGAGCGUUGUCCGGAAUUAUUGGGCGUAAAGAGCUCGUAGGCGGCUUGUCGCGUCGGAUGUGAAAGCCCGGGGCUUAACCCCGGGUCUGCAUUCGAUACGGGCAGGCUAGAGUUCGGUAGGGGAGAUCGGAAUUCCUGGUGUAGCGGUGAAAUGCGCAGAUAUCAGGAGGAGCACCGGUGGCGAAGGCGGUUCUCUGGGCAUGAACUGACGCUGAGGAGCGAAAGUGUGGGGAGCGAACAGG